GUUAAAUGGGCACAGCAACACGGCUUUCAUUUCACCGUUUGAAAAAUUUAGAGUGAGAAAGGUUGAGAGAGGGGGGAGGAGGAGAUCCUGUUGACGGACAUAACUGUUUUGCCGAAGGAGUGUUUGUGCAAAAUCGUUUCACGCACAACUCCGAAGGAUGCAUGCCGGACAUCUGCUGUGUGUUGGACCCUGAAAGAAUCUGCAGAUUCCGAUGACACGUGGGAAGCUUUUCUGCCGUCCGAUUGGCAACACUUGGUGGCUCAAUCGUCUACUCCCAACUUGACUUCUCUACCCAAGAAACAACUCUACCAUCAUCUUUCUGACCAUCCACUCCUUUUGGCCGAUCGCACCAUGAGUUUUUCUCUGGAUAAGGAGAGUGGAAAGAAGUGUUAUAUGAUAGGUGCAAGAGGACUUGGGGUUCUUUGGGGACCUGAUCUUAGGUAUUGGAAUUACCAUUCUGCUCAAGAGUCCAGGUAUGCUUUCAAGAGUCCAGAUUUCCUGAAGUAGCGGAGCUCAAUCAAGUGUGGUGGUUUGAGGUGAAAGGAGCUUUUAACACUAAACUCCUGUCCUCAAAAACAACAUAUGAUGUGUUCUUCAUCUUUCAAUUUGGAAGCGAAAUAUUGGGAUUCGCAGAUACAUUCAUAAAUUUUAGCCUCAAUGAAAGUGGUAUGUGUAAAGUCUCAAGGACAAGUAGUAGUCCUAUACCCUCCAAGAAUUGGUGUUAAGCAAAGAGAAGAUAGGUGGCUCGAAAUUAAGGUCGGAGAGUUUUACACUGAAAUGAAGAAGAUGAUGAUGGCUUACUGGAGUUUAAAAUAUGGAGAGUUUAAUGACCAUACACGAGAAAAAAGGCAUUUUGGUUGAAGGAUUUGAGUUUCGGCCUAAAAGACUUGAAUAGAAGUAAAUAGCAUGCAUUCCUUUUAUAUAUGUUAUAAUCUUAGUGUGUUUUAUUGGGUUGGAAACUUUGGAAUUCAUUGUGUAAACUUGAUUUUCAGACCAUUUUCAUUUAUAUCAAAUGUAACUUUUGGCCA